rnacentral:rRNA from 1 species
GGCAGCAGCAGGGAAUAUUGCACAAUGGAGGAAAACUCUGAUGCAGCGACGCCGCGUGAGUGAUGAAGGCCUUCGGGUCGUAAAGCUCUGUCGCAGGGGUAAUAACACAAUGAAUGUACCCUGUAAGAAAGGAUCGGCUAACUUCGUGCCAGCAGCCGCGGUAAU